rnacentral:rRNA from 1 species
UACGUAGGGUGCAAGCGUGUCCGGAAUUAUUGGGCGUAAAGAGCUCGUAGGCGGUUUGUCGCGUCUGCUGUGAAAACCCGAGGCUCAACCUCGGGCCUGCAGUGGGUACGGGCAGACUAGAGUGCGGUAGGGGAGAUUGGAAUGCCUGGUGUAGCGGUGGAAUGCGCAGAAUAUCAGGAGGACACCAAUGGCGAAGGCAGAUCUCUGGGGCCGUAACUGACGCUGAGGAAGCGAAAGCAUGGGGAGCGAACAGG